rnacentral:rRNA from 1 species
UGGGGGAUAUUGCACAAUGGGCGAAAGCCUGAUGCAGCGACGCCGCGUGGGGGAUGAAGGCCUUCGGGUUGUAAACUUCUUUUGCUCUGAACAAGGCGCACCAUGGGGUGUGUUGAGUGUAGGGGUUGAUUAGCGCCGGCUAACUACGUGCCAGCAGCCGCGGUAAUACGUAGGGCGCGAGCGUUGUCCGGAAUUAUUGGGCGUAAAGGGCUUGUAGGUGGCUGGUUGCGUCUGUCGUGAAAGCUCAUGGCUUAACUGUGGGUUUGCGGUGGGUACGGGCUGGCUUGAGUGCAGUAGGGGAGGCUGGAAUUCCUGGUGUAGCGGUGGAAUGCGCAGAUAUCAGGAGGAAUACCGGUGGCGAAGGCGGGUCUCUGGGCUGUUACUGACACUGAGGAGCGAAAGCAUGGGGAACGAACAGG